AUCAAAAGCAUUCUUUUUCUAACACCGACAACGUAGUUUAAACGAUUGAAAAUCAAAUCAUGAAGUCAGUUUGUCUCGCUCUCAUCGUUGCCUGUGUUUUGAUCUCCGUCGUCCAUUGUCAAUGGUCAGAAUACUACAGAGGUGGAGGACUAGGUGGAAACUACUACGGUGGACAAGGACUAGGAAGUGGAAUAAUUAGUGGAGGAUAUGACAGGUGGAAUUCGGGACUUGACCGAUUCGGUGGAGGAGGACUUCUAGGUCUCGGUCGUAGAGGACAAAGCAGAAGAGGAUAUUACUAGUUUACAAUUUACUUUACUUCAUUAUCAUGAAAUUUCAUCGUUAAACUAAAGGCACCAUACUAUUUAUGGCAUUACUGUGAUUACUUUGACACAUAUAUGUAAGAUAUUUUCGUUGGGUUUAUAUUGCCUGCAACCUUUAACGAGACAAUUGAUAUUUUUUUUCAUAAGAAAAUAUUAUAUGCCUUCAAAAUAGAAAUAUUGUUCAAAUGUGUUCUUUUUUAUGUAAUUCUUUCUUCUUAUGAAUUGUUUUGUAAAUGAAAUAAAUGUAAGAAACUCUU